UGGCGGCGUGCUUAACACAUGCAAGUCGAACGGAAAGGCCCUGCUUUUGUGGGGUGCUCGAGUGGCGAACGGGUGAGUAACACGUGAGUAACCUGCCCUUGACUUUGGGAUAACUUCAGGAAACUGGGGCUAAUACCGGAUAGGAGCUCCUGCUGCAUGGUGGGGGUUGGAAAGUUUCGGCGGUUGGGGAUGGACUCGCGGCUUAUCAGCUUGUUGGUGGGGUAGUGGCUUACCAAGGCUUUGACGGGUAGCCGGCCUGAGAGGGUGACCGGCCACAUUGGGACUGAGAUACGGCCCAGACUCCUACGGGAGGCAGCAGUGGGGAAUAUUGCACAAUGGGCGGAAGCCUGAUGCAGCAACGCCGCGUGCGGGAUGACGGCCUUCGGGUUGUAAACCGCUUUCGCCUGUGACGAAGCGUGAGUGACGGUAAUGGGUAAAGAAGCACCGGCUAACUACGUG
rnacentral:rRNA from 1 species